rnacentral:rRNA from 1 species
CCUACGGGUGGCAGCAGUGGGGAAUAUUGCACAAUGGGGGAAACCCUGAUGCAGCGACGCCGCGUGAGUGAAGAAGUAAUUCGUUAUGUAAAGCUUUAUCAGCAGGGAAGAAAAUGACGGCACCUGAGUAAGAAGCUCCGGCUAACCACGUGCCAGCAGCCGUGGUAAUACGCAGGAGGCCAGCGUUAUCCGGAUUUACUGGGUGUAAAGGGAGCGUAGACGGGGGUGCAAGUCUGUAGUGAAAGGCUGGGGCUCAACCUCCAAACUGCAAUGGAAACUGUACGGCUGGAGUACAGGAGAGGUAAGUGGAAUUCGUGGUGUAGCGGUGAAAUGCGUAGAUAUCAGGAAGAACUCCGAUGGCGAAGGCAGCCUACUAAACUGCGACUGACAUUGAGGCCCGAAAGCGUGGGGAGCAAACAGGAUUAGAUACCCGAGUAGUC